UUCCUCUCCCUCUUCCGGACCUGGGUACCCCUCCCCGUGGCCCGCCCGUUUCCCGUACACCGGACCCCCCAGUCCUUCCUUUUUCCCUCUAGCUCACCUCACUCUCCUGGGCGAGGCCCCCCAAACACCCUCACCUUCCCGCACAUGCGCACAAAGCUCAUCAGGACUCCAUGCCCCAGCAGGCUUUGCGCCAAAUUCACCCGUACCUCCCCGCCCCCACGUUCCCUCACUCCCUACACUUGGAAUCACUAAUUCUACCCAACACCUCUCCCGGCUGGAAACUACAUCUCCCAAGAAGCAUCGCGACAAAGAGGCUUGCCUAAUGCCCUACUGUGAUGACUCCUGUCGCUCGUGCGUCCCGAGCUAGUCACUGCCAGACGGAAAACUACUUUUCUUAAGGGAUGCCCGGCCGGCGGACCUCAGGCACACGCAGACAUGUCGGGGAGAGACAGGAGGAAUCAGUGGUUUCGUUGUCGUGGAAACCGGUGGAGGCAGCACACUUGGGAGACCGGCCUCCGGGACCUUUAAGCGCCAGUAGAGGAGAUCGUGGAGGCUAAGCCAGAGUUCUCAAAUCAUCAGUUGGGAGAUCCGUCUCCUUCACAACAGUUGCACUAUCGCCCUCCAUCUCCAGUACUAGAUUAAAGGAAGGUUGAGGCUAGUCAGCGAAAACCGA